UACAGAGGGUGCAAGCGUUGUUCAGAAUUAUUGGGCGUAAAGCGCGUGUAGGCGGCUUCGUAAGUUGGGUGUGAAAGCCCUCGGCUUAACCGAGGAAGUGCGCCCAAAACUGCGUGGCUUGAGUACCGGAGAGGAUGGCGGAAUUCCCGGUGUAGAGGUGAAAUUCGUAGAUAUCGGGAGGAACACCAGCGGCGAAGGCGGCCAUCUGGACGGAUACUGACGCUGAGACGCGAAAGCGUGGGGAGCAAACAGG
rnacentral:rRNA from 1 species